rnacentral:lncRNA from 1 species
CAUACAUGUAACCUCUUAGGCAUACAGCCAACACUGUCUUCUUGGAACACAGCAAACACAUUUUCUUCUUCCUUAAUGUCUGUAACACUGCUCUUAACUAUUCUCAUACAUUGGUUUCUCCCUUUUCCUAAAUAUAAAUAUUCUUAAAGGUACCCUCCUUCCUCUUUGCUUCUCUCUAAGCAUUCUCUCCACUCCCAUGGCUUGAAUUAAUUUAACAAUCUUUUUUAACCAUC